AGCGAACGCUGGCGGUAGGCCUAACACAUGCAAGUCGAACGAACCCACCGGGAUUAGUGGCGGUCGGGGGAGGCACACGGGGGAACGGGCCUGUAGGCACGGAAUACUACAGUGUCACUUGGGCUAACAUCGAAUGAGUUCCGCGGGUGCCAGAUUCAUCGUCUUUAGGGCGGCACGGGUCUGUCUAGCCAGUUGGGUGAGGUAAUGGCUCACCAAGGCGACGAUCAGUAGCUGGUCUGAGAGGAUGAGCAGCCACAUUGGUACUGAGACACGGGCCAAAAUCCUACGGGAGGGAGCAGUGGGGAAUCUUGCGCAAUGGGCGAAAGUCUAACGCAGCCAUGCCGCGUAAAGGAUGAAGGUCUUAGGAGUGUAGAAUUCUUUCAACGGGGACGAUAAUGACGGUACCCGGAGAAGAAGCCCCGGCUAACUUCGUG
rnacentral:rRNA from 1 species